UACGGGGGGGGUAAGCGUUGUUCGGAAUUACUGGGCGUAAAGGGCCAGUAGGCGGCCAACUAAGUCGGAUGUGAAAUCCCCAGGCUUAACCUGGGAACUGCAUCCGAUACUGGAUGGCUUGAAUUCGGGAGAGGGAUGCAGAAUUCCAGGUGUAGCGGUGAAAUGCGUAGAUAUCUGGAGGAAUACCGGUGGCGAAGGCGGCAUCCUGGACCGACAUUGACGCUGAACGGCGAAAGCUAGGGGAGCAAACGGG
rnacentral:rRNA from 1 species